CCCACCUGACCCCAUGCCGAACUCAGAAGUGAAACGCCGUAGCGCCGAUGGUAGUGUGGGGUCUCCCCAUGUGAGAGUAGGGAACUGCCAGAC
rnacentral:rRNA from 6 species